GCCGCCGCACCGUCGACCCGUCGCCGCCGUCGCCCGCCACCCCAAUGCCGCCUCCGCUGGAGCCAACCGAGAGAGACAUGUAUCUUAUCCGUGGCUUUGCACUAUGUGACAUCUCAUUUUUUUUAAGGACAGUGGCUUGCAUAUUGAAUGCGCGGAGCAGGCGUGCCGAGAAAAGGUGGAAUCUUUUAUAUUAAAUUAGCUGGCUUUUGAUGUACAGUAUGUAUUCUGACACAGGUAGUGGCAACAAUCGAUGAGAGCCCAUCCGCGGAUCUGCGUCGACUGACCGGCAAGCCACGGCGGCCAUGGGCGGCGACGUGAUGUACGACCGGUGCCUGGUCGCGCUCUACCUGCUCAGCCCGCUCACCGUGUUGGCGCUCCAGUUCGUGUCGGCGCCGUACGGGAAGCUCUCCCGGCCGGGGUGGGGCCCCGCGCUGCCGGCGCCGCUUNNN
rnacentral:lncRNA from 1 species